GGGGCGAUAGCUCAGUUGGUUAGAGCAGAGGACUCAUAAUCCUUUGGUCCACGGUUCAAGUCCGUGUCGCCCUACCA
rnacentral:tRNA from 5 species